CCAAUAGCGUAUAUUAAAGUUGUUGCGGUUAAAAAGCUCGUAGUUGAAUUUCGGGACCAAUCUGCCGGUCGUGCCUCCGGUACGCACUGGUUUUAUUGGUUUCUCCCUUCUGACGAACCAUGAUGUCAUUAAUUUGGUGUCAUGGGGAAUCAGGACUGUUACUUUGAAAAAAUUAGAGUGUUUAUAGCAGGCUCACGCUUGAAUACAUUAGCAUGGAAUAAUGAAAUAGGACGUUUGACCCUAUUUUGUUGGUUUCUAGGAUCGACGUAAUGAUUAAUAGGGAUAGUUGGGGGCAUUAGUAUUCAAUUGUCAGAGGUGAAAUUCUUGGAUUUAUUGAAGACUAACUACUGCGAAAGCAUUUGCCAAGGAUGUUUUCAUUAAUCAAGAACGAAAGUUAGGGGAUCGAAGACGAUCAGAUACCGUCGUAGUCUUAACCAUAAACUAUGCCGACUAGGGAUCGGAUGAUGUUAAUUUUUUAAUGACUCAUUCGGCGCCUUACG
rnacentral:misc_RNA from 1 species